CAAAAAAGUUCUUUCAAAAAAACCCAUAUUUAUUAGGCCUUAAAAUGGAAAGUCAAUUUUCCCGUGUGCACGAUAAAACGGGUAACUAAUUUUUAUGUAGGUUCACAUUUUAUAAGUUAUUUUAUAUAUUUAAAAAUAAAUAAAUAGCAGCCUCCAGAAUUUUACAUGAGUAGGAAACUUUCCUCAUAUCACACCCCCAAGCAACCAUAAUAAAACUCCCCUCUGCAGCAGCAUCCCCAACCCAAAAUUCCCUUACGCUGACCUCACCUCUGGUCAAGACCAUGCCUUGACGAUGGCUUCAAGCGAAGAUGAGCUCGUGGGCAAGAUAUCAGAGAUCGAGAAAUCCUUAGCUUCGCUUUCCACCUAGCAAAUCCAACUGGUCGAUUUGAAGAAAUCAAUAUCAGAGGAGCUUGAACUACUACACGCCAGUAGGGCCCACAAUCACAAACAUGGGGGCGUUCAUCCUUACCCAAGAUUGCAUCUCCACCAUGUCCAUUUGAUGGUCUUGAGAGUGACUAUUUUGUUCAUUUGGGGAACCAAGACUUCUUUCUGGCACAAAUUAUGAAUUUUACAACGUUCAACAUAUUUGUAUAACCACGUUUCAAAUAUAUGUUCAAGAAAACGGAAGACAUAUGAUUAAGACUUUACAUUCAAUUGUUCUUCCUAUGGAUAUCGAGGAUUGUGGUCGGUUCAUGCUCACAUUUGGCUUCAUUCCAGAGUGCGGGGAUUAUGAACCCAUAGAAGGGGAUGCAGCUAGCAUGAAGCAGCCCAAAUAAGAAGAAGAAACCACUAUCGAAGAGAAUUAUUUGAUGUGUGGGAGGUGAAGAAAUGUGUUUACAUGAAAUGUACGUAAGUCUUGGAUUAGAAAUUAUUGAGCCGUUUUACUGCCAUCUAGGCCCUUGAUGUUAUAGUGGAAAAAGAUGUUAUUGAUUGUGAUAUUUAGCUGAUAGUUGAUAUGCAUGCCUCCUUGUGUAAAAGGACCUGUUAACACCCCCAAAAAAAAAAAAAAUUAAUAAUCAAGGUUAGCUUUGAAAGACUUUUUAUUAAUGGUUGACAAUAAUGUUCGUCUGUGGACCAUGGCUUAUAAACUCAUCUGGUUUAAAACUUUUCAGCCUUAAUGACUUCAGCUGAUAAACACGAAAUAAAUAUAUUUAAACUUGGGAAUAUGAAGACGAUAACCUUGACCAAGUCAUUAAAUUAAUUAAUGGUAGAUUGGCCUUAAGUGGAGACAAUGAUGAACGUCUCGCAGACGACUUGACUUCCUCUCAAAUUUUCUUUAAUACAAUGAUCGCUUUUCUUAACCAAAUUUUA